rnacentral:lncRNA from 1 species
CAAAGAUGCAGGGAAAGGUACUUGCUUGUGUAGCUCCUGUGAAAUGAUGAGCCCUAUUAAUUAAUCACUCCCCUUCCAGGAUAGAUGUCAGAAUCAGACAAAAGCCAAUCAGUAAACGUGGAAGAACGAGCGUCGUGCAGAAGUGGUGCUGGCAGCAACAGCGGGAAACAGCGGUGCUAGGACGAGGCAAAGACGGAGGAGUGCCAGGGACUGCUGAUAUCACCGCCUGCAGAUGUGCUAGACCACAGGAUAAGCUACCUAGAGUUGACCAAGGCCUUGCAGAACAAGAAGAACAAGGAAAAAUGAAAACUGCAGAUGUACUCUGUGUUAAAUCAGCAGUGGCUGCAAGGAGUCCUGGGUUCUGAUGCAUUGACUUCAGUGGGAUUUGGAACAAGCCCAGGAGGGAAAGAACUCCGGAGCUGUUUUGUUCCCAUUAAGGAAUCAAAGUAAGAGACCAGGUCACUAAAGAGCUCAUGUUGGAUACUGAGCUGUUUUAACAACCAGAUCACACAUCCCUUAACUUGAUUAUUCCCUUCCCUGCUCUUUGAAGACAGCCCCAGAGCCCACGCUGUUUUGUAACCCCUCAUGGAUUAAGAAACCCAGGCCUGUAGUUGCAAAGAAUGCCAGUCUGCCUGACCAAACCCAAAGGGGUCAGAUAUUUUCCCUCUGAAAAGAAAAUUCUAUGUUUAUAUCAGCUAUUUGUUUCUGAAAGAAAAAUGGCUUACAAGUGGCAGACAGA